GCACUUGGUCGGAUAUGAACUACAGAUUAGCCUAUUCUAGUUUAUUACAAUAAUAGCUUAUUUUUAUUAACUUUAUUUUAGUGGAAGCACUACAUAUUAAGUUGCUUCUUAGCAGAAGGUAAUUGAUUUGAAGAUUUUAAAAACUGGCUAAAAUUUGGUUACUCAAAAUACAGAGGGGUGCAUGUACAUGGUCAGCCAUCAAUUCCUGAUAAGCCAAGGCUAGUCUACUACAACUAUACUUCAGUCACCAGUGGAAGCACUACUUGUUUAGUUGUUAAUUAGAUUUUGAUUGAUCUGAUGGUACAAAAGAUGGGUAGAAUUUGGCUGCCCAGAAUCCCC